rnacentral:rRNA from 1 species
AAAUUUAAUUUCUUACUUUAUUUAUUUGAAUUUUAUUUUUAAGAGAAACAUCUUUAUAUUUAGUAUACUAAAGGAAAAUAUAUUAUAGUAAUAGUUUAUUAGUACCGUAAGGGAAUAUGAUGAAAUAAUUUGAAAAUUUUAAUUUUUAAAAGUAGAUUUUAUUUAUUGUACCUUUUGUAUCAGGGUUAAUUAAAUAUAUUUAAUUUAUUUUAUUUUCUCGAUUUUAGAAGAGCUAAUUUUAAAUUAUAAUUGAUGUUGCAUAAUCAUAUUUAAUUUAAUUUUAGAGGAGAAAUUCCAAUCGAUUUUAAAGGUAUCUAGUUUUUUAAGAAAUAAAUUUAAUUUAGUCUUAUUUAUUUAAAUAAUUUAUUUAUAAAUUAUUUAUUAAUUAAGUUUAAAAUAUUAGGGGAUAAGCUCUAAUUUUUUUCUAAAAUGUAUUUAUUCAUUUAAUUUAUGUAGGCUUUAAAACAGCCAUCAUUAAUAAGUUCGUUGUAGUUUACAUUAAUUGAAUUUGAUUUUCUUCAUUUUAGUAUUAUAUUAAAAUAAUAAUUUUAACACUAUAAAUUUUGUAAUAAUGAUUAAAUUAGUAUAUAAAAUUUGUUUAUCAUAUUUUAUUUGAUAUAAUUAAAUAAGGAAUUCGGCAAAUAUAACAGUCGCCUGUUUAUCAAAAACAUGUCCUCUUGUUUGUAUAUGAGGUCUGACCUGCCCGGUGAAGUUAUUUUAACGGCCGCGGUAUUUUGACCGUGCAAAGGUAGCAUAAUCAUUAGUCUUUUAAUAGAAGGCUGGUAUGAAGGGUUUGACGAGCUGUUAACUGUCUCAUUUAAUUUUAUUUUAAAAUUUAACUUUUCAGUUAAAAGGCUGAAAUUUUGUUGGAAGACGAGAAGACCCUAUAGAGCUUUAUAAUUGAAUUGAUUAAUUAAUUUUUGUUUAUUAUUGUUUUUCAUAAAUUUAAUUAUUUUGUUGGGGUGACAAAAAUAUAUAAUUAACUUUUUUAUUUAUUUAACAUUGAUAAAUGAUUAAGAGAUCCAAUCUUAUUGAUUGUUAGAAUAAGUUACCUUAGGGAUAACAGCGUAAUCUUUCUCUAGAGUUCACAUUCACAGAAAGGCUUGCGACCUCGAUGUUGGAUUAAGAAAAUAGUUAGGUGUAGCCGCUUAAUAUAUAGGUCUGUUCGACCUUUAAAUUCUUACAU